rnacentral:rRNA from 1 species
UGCAAGUCGAGCGGUAACAGAAAGAAAGCUUGCUUUCUUUGCUGACGAGCGGCGGACGGGUGAGUAAUGCCUGGGAAAUUGCCUUGAUGUGGGGGAUAACCAUUGGAAACGAUGGCUAAUACCGCAUAAUGCCUUCGGGCCAAAGAGGGGGACCUUCGGGCCUCUCGCGUCAAGAUAUGCCCAGGUGAGAUUAGCUUGUUGGUGAGGUAAGAGCUCACCAAGGCGACGAUCUCUAGCUGGUCUGAGAGGAUGAUCAGCCACAUUGGGACUGAGACACGGCCCAAACUCCUACGGGAGGCAGCAGUGGGGAAUAUUGCACAAUGGGCGCAAGCCUGAUGCAGCCAUGCCGCGUGUAUGAAGAAGGCCUUCGGGUUGUAAAGUACUUUCAGCAGUGAGGAAGGGGUGAUGUUUAAUAGACAYCAUUCUUGACGUUAGCUGCAGAAGAAGCACCGGCUAACUCCGUGCCAGCAGCCGCGGUAAUACGGAGGGUGCGAGCGUUAAUCGGAAUUACUGGGCGUAAAGCGCAUGCAGGUGGUCUGUUAAGUCAGAUGUGAAAGCCCGAGGCUUAACCUCGGAAUAGCAUUUGAAACUGGCAGGCUAGAGUACUGUAGAGGGGGGUAGAAUUUCAGGUGUAGCGGUGAAAUGCGUAGAGAUCUGAAGGAAUACCAGUGGCGAAGGCGGCCCCCUGGACAGAUACUGACACUCAGAUGCGAAAGCGUGGGGAGCAAACAGGAUUAGAUACCCUGGUAGUCCACGCCGUAAACGAUGUCUACUUGGAGGUUGUGGCCUUGAGCCGUGGCUUUCGGAGCUAACGCGUUAAGUAGACCGCCUGGGGAGUACGGUCGCAAGAUUAAAACUCAAAUGAAUUGACGGGGGCCCGCACAAGCGGUGGAGCAUGUGGUUUAAUUCGAUGCAACGCGAAGAACCUUACCUACUCUUGACAUCCAGAGAACUUAGCAGAGAUGCUUUGGUGCCUUCGGGAACUCUGAGACAGGUGCUGCAUGGCUGUCGUCAGCUCGUGUUGUGAAAUGUUGGGUUAAGUCCCGCAACGAGCGCAACCCUUAUCCUUGAUUGCCAGCACUUCGGGUGGGAACUUCAGGGA